GUCAGAUCCUCGGAGUAGAUACGUCCGUGCAACAGGGCAAGUCACAAUUAGAUGUUGGAUGAUCACCUUUGAGGGCCGUGUAAUCUCUGAGGGCAUCCCACCAACAUUUGCAACGGACUUGCUGCUGUGUUUGCAAUCUACUACAUAUUCAACCUUCAGUAUCAAGAUGAGGCAGCCUGCACCCUUCAUUCAGAGGCGCUUCAUUGGUAUAAAUCCAUAGAGCGGGACAAAGCCCAAAAUGGGCAAGGUUGUCUCCAAGAAGAAAGGUGUGAUCGUCCAGAAGAAAUCUUCUGCAGUCAAUACACAUGUCGCCAUGUUUCUGAAGAAUCUUAUUGACUUGAAUGGAACUUGAUAUAGACCGGACUAUUUUAAGAUGUAAAAACAAUAAUUUUAUGCUGAUUCAUGGACAUGAAAAUACACCUCCACCAUGAUCCCCUUGACAGUAUUUGGAUCCUGAGAUCUCAGCCUUUACUGGACUUACAGUGUGCUAAAGGAUCAGGAACGUAUUGAAAACAUCACUAAUGCUGGCUGAAUAAUGUGUUCUCUUGUUUGGGGGGGGGGGGGCAAACAUGUCUAGUACAUCAACACAGUGUAAUCAAGUGUUAGUGAGAUUUUAUGCUGAUUCAUGGACAUGGAACUAGACCUCCACCAUGAUCCCCUUGACAGUAUUUGGAUCCUGAGAUCUCAGCCUUUACUGGACUUACAGUGUGAGGGAGGUUUUUGUACGGCUCUGUAUCACUGUGUGAACACAUAACCGCUUGGGAUAUGUAAACUCUGACAGUAGUAAUCUCCUGCAUCUUCA